rnacentral:lncRNA from 1 species
CGCGCCCUCACAGCGGCCGCGCUCGGAGCCGCCGCCGGCAAACACAAACCUCGCGCUUCCAAAGCGGCGCAGACAGAACUUCUACAGGUGCAUAGCAGUGAAACACACUCCUCCCCGCGCCCGAGUCUGGACGUGGACAGAUGUGCCCACGAUGAUAGCUAGUUAGAGGAGUUCCUGCCCGCACUGAAAGAAUAGCUCAACAUCUGUCAUCCCAUUCUCUGUGAUGGCCCAAAAUCAGGAAGACUACAGCUGUCCUCUUCCUUUCAGUACUUCUGGGAGAGAGAGAGAGAAGAAAAAAUUCCAGGUGAGAAGUUCCAAGAUUAAGUUGCAGUGGAUGUCAGAAGUACUGAAGAUGAAACACCGGAUAAAUGCUUCACUUCUGGAGAGACAGGAAGGAGGAAGUACAAUCUCUCCCUCUCUUCUUGAACCUUCCCACCUAAGAGAUAUGGGUCACAAAGGUCACAUAGAGUUCAAAGAAGAUGUGUCUAAACUGGAUUGUGAGAGCAAAUCACAUUCAAAUUGCACAAUUCCCUGUUGGAGUGCCUUACACCUGCUUUCCUUAAUUCCUGCAGAGACAGUUACUCACUGUCACUGUUGCUUCUGCUUGCUUGUGAAUGGCCUGGGUGUGUUGGCAUGUGUGUUUCUGGACAGGGGAGCAGCACUUUUCAAUGGGUGCUGGCAGCGUCUUAGAAAUUUUGCCACUCAGUUCAGUGGUAAAUGUGAAAUUCAGAGGGAGCUGUGGCCUGCUGCCAUUUGCAGGCUGUAA